rnacentral:rRNA from 1 species
UACGAAGGGGCUAGCGUUGCUCGGAAUCACUGGGCGUAAAGCGCACGUAGGCGGAUCUUUAAGUCAGGGGUGAAAUCCUGGAGCUCAACUCCAGAACUGCCUUCGAUACUGGGAGCUCGAGUCCGGGAGAGGUGAGUGGAACUGCGAGUGUAGAGGUGAAAUUCGUAGAUAUUCGCAAGAACACCAGUGGCGAAGGCGGCUCACUGGCCCGGUACUGACGCUGAGGUGCGAAAGCGUGGGGAGCAAACAGG